CUACGGGAGGCACCAGGCGAGAAAACUUUGCAAUGUGCGAAAGCACGACAAGGUUAAUCCGAGUGGUUUGUGCUAAACGAACCUUUUGACAGUCCUAGAAACACUGUUGAAUAAGGGGUGGGCAAGUUCUGGUGUCAGCCGCCGCGGUAAAACCAGCACCUCAAGUGGUCAGGAUGAUUAUUGGGCCUAAAGCAUCCGUAGCCGGCUCUGUAAGUUUUCGGUUAAAUCUGUACGCUCAACGUACAGGCUGCCGGGAAUACUGCAGAGCUAGGGAGUGGGAGAGGUAGACGGUACUCGGUAGGAAGGGGUAAUAUCCUUUGAUCUAUUGAUGACCACCUGUGGCGAAGGCGGUCUACCAGAACACGUCCGACGGUGAGGGAUGAAAGCUGGGGGAGCAAACCGGAUUAGAUACCCCCGUAGUC
rnacentral:rRNA from 1 species